rnacentral:tRNA from 1 species
AAGGGUAUAGCUCAGUGGUAGAGAGCAUGCCUAGCAUGCACAAGAUCCUGGAUUCAAUCCCCAGUACCUCCA